GUGUCAGCAGCCGCGGUAAUACGUAGGGUGCGAGCGUUGUCCGGAAUUAUUGGGCGUAAAGGGCUCGUAGGCGGUUUGUCGCGUCGGGAGUGAAAACCAGGUGCUUAACACCUGGCUUGCUUUCGAUACGGGCAGACUAGAGGUAUGCAGGGGAGAACGGAAUUCCUGGUGUAGCGGUGAAAUGCGCAGAUAUCAGGAGGAACACCGGUGGCGAAGGCGGUUCUCUGGGCAUGACCUGACGCUGAGGAGCGAAAGUGUGGGGAGCGAACAGGAUUAGAUACCCUGGUAGUCCACACCGUAAACGUUGGGCGCUAGGUGUGGGAUCCAUUCCACGGGUUCCGUGCCGCAGCUAACGCAUUAAGCGCCCCGCCUGGGGAGUACGGCCGCAAGGCUAAA
rnacentral:rRNA from 1 species